GACGAACGCUGGCGGCGUGCUUAACACAUGCAAGUCGAACGGAAAGGCCUGCUUUCCCUUGUGGAUUGCGGGUACUCGAGUGGCGAACGGGUGAGUAACACGUGAGUGAUCUGCCCCCAACUUGGGUAUAAGCCUGGGAAACUGGGUCUAAUUCCCGAUAGGACUGCAGGGUGGUGCCUGUGGUGGAAAACGAUUUUCUAGUGGUUGGGGAUGAGCUCGCGGCCUAUCAGCUUGUUGGUGGGGUAAUGGCCUACCAAGGCGGCGACGGGUAGCCGGCCUGAGAGGGUGGACGGCCACAUUGGGACUGAGAUACGGCCCAGACUCCUACGGGAGGCAGCAGCGGGGAAUAUUGCACAAUGGGCGGAAGCCUGAUGCAGCGACGCCGCGGGGGGGAUGACGGCCUUCGGGUUGUAAACUCCUUUCGACCGCGAGGAAGCCACCUGGUUGGAAGGGUGGUGACGGUAGUGGUAGAAGAAGCACCGGCUAACUACGUG
rnacentral:rRNA from 1 species